rnacentral:rRNA from 1 species
GACGAACGCUGGCGGCGUGCUUAACACAUGCAAGUCGAACGGAAAGGCCCUGCUUUUGUGGGGUGCUCGAGUGGCGAAAGGGUGAGUAACACGUGAGUAACCUGCCCUUGACUUUGGGAUAACUUCAGGAAACUGGGGCUAAUACCGGAUAGGAGCUCCUGCUGCAUGGUGGGGGUUGGAAAGUUUCGGCGGUUGGGGAUGGACUCGCGGCUUAUCAGCUUGUUGGUGGGGUGGUGGCUUACCAAGGCUUUGACUGGUAGCCGGCCUGAGAGGGUGACCGGCCACAUUGGGACUGAGAUACGGCCCAGACUCCUACGGGAGGCAGCAGUGGGGAAUAUUGCACAAUGGGCGGAAGCCUGAUGCAGCAACGCCGCGUGCGGGAUGACGGCCUUCGGGUUGUAAACCGCUUUCGCCUGUGACGAAGCGUGAGUGACGGUAAUGGGUAAAGAAGCACCGGCUAACUACGUG